rnacentral:rRNA from 1 species
GACGAACGCUGGCGGCGUGCUUAACACAUGCAAGUCGAACGGAAAGGCCCUGCUUUUGUGGGGUGCUCGAGUGGCGAACGGGUGAGUAACACGUGAGUAACCUGCCCUUGACUUUGGGAUAACUUCAGGAAACUGGGGCUAAUACCGGAUAGGAGCUCCUGCUGCAUGGUGGGGGUUGGAAAGUUUCGGCGGUUGGGGAUGGACUCGCGGCUUAUCAGCUUGUUGGUGGGGUAGUGGCUUACCAAGGCUUUGACGGGUAGCCGGCCUGAGAGGGUGACCGGCCACAUUGGGACUAAGAUACGGCCCAGACUCCUACGGGAGGCAGCAGUGGGGAAUAUUGCACAAUGGGCGGAAGCCUGAUGCAGCAACGCCGCGUGCGGGAUGAAGGCCUUCGGGUUGUAAACCGCUUUCGCCUGUGGCGAAGCGUGAGUGACGGUAAUGGGUAAAGAAGCACCGGCUAACUACGUG